GGUGAAGAACGUAGCGAAAUGCGAUAAGUAAUGUGAAUUGCAGAAUUCAGUGAAUCAUCGAAUCUUUGAACGCACAUUGCGCCCAUUAGUAUUCUAGUGGGCAUGCCUGUUCGAGCGUCAUUUCAACCCUUAUGCCUAGCUUAGUGUUGGGAGACUGCCUAAUACGCAGCUCCUCAAAACCAGUGGCGGAGUCUGUUCGUGCUCUGAGCGUAGUAAUUUUUUAUCUCGCUUCUGCAAGCCGGCCAGACGACAGCCAUAAACCGCACCCUCUCGGGGGGCACUUUUUUAAUGGUUGACCUCGGAUCAGGUAGGAAUACCCGCUGAACUUAAGCAUAUCAAUAAGCGGAGGA
rnacentral:misc_RNA from 1 species